UACGUAGGGGGCUAGCGUUGUCCGGAAUCAUUGGGCGUAAAGCGCGUGUAGGCGGUCCGGUAAGUCCGCUGUGAAAGUCGGGGGCUCAACCCUCGGAUGCCGGUGGAUACUGUCGGGCUUGAGUACGGAAGAGGCGAGUGGAAUUCCUGGUGUAGCGGUGAAAUGCGUAGAGAUCGGGAGGAACACCUGUGGCGAAGGCGGCCGACUGGGCCGACCCUGACGCUGAGGCGCGAAGGCGUGGGGAGCGAACGGG
rnacentral:rRNA from 1 species